CAAGUACGUCCCAUCGAGGCCCCUGCGCUCUGUCAAAGACCUACGUCUAUCCUCUGUCCAUACUCCCACCUCUGAUGCUCGCCUCCAAGAUUUCUCCAGGGCUGCACCUCUUCUGUGGAACUCCCUUCCAUUCUCCGUAAGACUUUCACCCAUUCUCCACUCAUUAAAAAAAUUAUUGAAAACUCACUUUUUCAAGAAAGC